AUUGAACGCUAACGGCGUGCUUAAAACAUGCAAGUCGAGCGGCAGCAUGACUGUAGCAAUACAGUUGAUGGCGAGCGGCGGACGGGUGAGUAAUACAUAGGAAUCUGCCUUAUAGUGGGGGAUAAUCCGGGGAAACUCGGGCUAAUACCGCAUAAUCUAUACGGAGCAAAGUGGGGGACCGUAAGGCCCUAGGUCAAAAGAUGAGACUAUGUUGGAUUAGCUAGUUGGUAGGGUAAAGGCCUAACAAGGGGACGAUCCAUAGCUGGUCUGAGAGGAUGAUCAGCCACACUGGGACUGAGACACGGCCCAGACUCCUACGGGAGGCAGCAGUGGGGAAUAUUGGACAAUGGGGGAAACCCUGAUCCAGCAACGCCGUGUGUGUGAAGAAGGCCUUCGGGUUGUAAAGCACUUUUAGUUGGGAAGAAAAGUUCAUGGCUAAUAUCCAUGAAUGCUGGCGUUACCAACAGAAAAAGCACUGGCUAACUCUGUGCCAGCCGCCGCGGUAACAC
rnacentral:rRNA from 1 species